rfam:Dufourea novaeangliae contig1941, whole genome shotgun sequence.
GGCAAUGAUCAUAUCACGCUGAAAGCACCAGUUCUCGUCUGAUCACUGAAGUUAAGCAGCAUUGAGCGUGGUUAGUACUUGGAUGGUUGACCGCUUGGGAACACCACGUAUCGUUGUCA